rnacentral:lncRNA from 1 species
AAAAUGUUAGAGUCUAAAGAGAGGCAAAGAUUAAGAUUCAUCCACUUUUUCUCCAUUUUCACAAAAUUUCGAAAAUCAUCAAAACCAUCACAAACCUUCCAUAACCAACAAGAAAAAAACGCAAGAAAAGCAUCAAAGAAGCAUACCCAAACCACCAAAAUUGCCAAGAAAAGAGUUGGAAUCAACCACCAAACCAGGGGGCUUGAAACAAGUAGGUUUGACCACACUUUUGCUUAAUCUAUUCAAAUCCGAGUUUUCGAAAUUUUUGGGGUUUUUAAAAGUUCGAAUUGUUUUUGAAAUAUAAACACUUUUUGAAAAAUCCAAGUUUUUUUUCAUGAUCUACACGAAAUUUCGAGUAAAAAUGUAUAUUCAUUUUCAAUUUUCGAGCAAGAUUUGAUGUUGUUGUUGUUCAAGGCCGAAGCUUUCAUGAAGCUUCCAUGGCCGCUGGUUGUUGUUCUUCGUGUGAAGAAGAUGGCUGGAGGUAGGGGACGACCACGUGUCAUCCCAUCACCGGUCGUUCCCUAUUUAAAACAUAGCCAAAAGAUUAAUCCAAGGAUCGAGAUCUGUUUCAGGAUUUUUAAAUCCCAGCCACCUGAUUUAAUCGAAUGGCUAAGAUCCAUGAAGUCCACUUUACACCUUUUGCAUCUGUAACACUGGAUUAAUGAGGUAAAAAUUGUUCAGAAUUUGAACGCAAUUCAUGAAAGAGAUCCAGUUCUGGUUUUAAUCAUAGAGUAUUUUGCACUAUACUUCAUAAUAUUUAAUAUCAAAUUAAUCAAACGAAAACAUGACAUAAUAAUAUAAAGUAUGCUCAAAUAAUUAAUAUGAUGUUUAUGCAUUUUAUACUUGUAUCAUUGUCUAAUUAGAGAUAUGACACCUGUCCAGCAGCCGACCUAUGGGUGGGCUGAGGUGGGCCACGAUCCAUCCCACCCCAAAAAAUAAUUUUUUUAUAUUUGUAGGAUAUUAAUUUAAAUGUAUUAUUAAUGAUUUUAAGUUACUCAGUAAUAUUAAUGUAUAAAUAUUAAUGUAAAUAUUAAUUUAAAGUAUAUUAUUGAUGAUUAUAAGUAACUCGGUAUACAUAUUAGUUAAAAUAUUAGUGUAAAUGUUAGUUCAUAAUUAAUUGACUUUAUAAUAUUAGAUAAAAUUAGCAGUUGAACUUUCAUAUAUAAAUAUGAAAUGACAUAAAAAAAUAUGUUUAAUUAAUAUUUAAUUUUUUAAGUCUCAUAUUUUCACAUUUGUUGCAAUUUUAGUCCUAUCUCAAUAUUUUUUUUUUCUUUUUUGCCAUAAAAUUAUCGAAUUUUAAUGACAAAAAAUGUGAAUUUUGGUCUCAAAUUUGAUAUUUCAUCUUUAAAUUCAAUGUUGGAGACAAUAAAUCACCUUUAUAGCCAAAAAUCACAAUUUUUAAAGUAAAAAUAUAGAUUGUUGGUACAAAAAUUGUAAAAUAUGAAAAUAGAGGGCAAAAGUUAAUAUGCAUAAGUGUGUUUUUAUGCACAGUACAUAAGUCAAUUAUAGCCAUUUGAUCAUGGAAUUGUUUUGCCACGUGUUACGAUCUGAAUUUGUGACACUGUGAGCCUUGUCACACACGAUCACACUCAGAUCACACAGCUGCGAAAUCGCUCGUCUACGCCGUCGCCGUUUCAAAGCUUCUUCUCCAUCGUCUUCUCCGUUUCAAAGCUUCUUCUCCGUCGUCUUCUCCGUUCUCUCCAUCGUCUGUUCAUUGUAGUACUAGAGUAAGCUUCUUCUCCAUCGCUGUUUCAAAGCUUCUUCUCCGUCGUCUUCUCCGUUUCAAAGCUUCUUCUCCGUCGUCUUCUUCAUUCUCUCCAUCGUCUGUUCAUUGUAGUACUAGAGUAAGCUUCUUCUGAUUUUGAUAUUCAUUUUGAUUUUGUCUGAACUGAAUGUUGUUUUGAUUUGAGAAUUAGGUUUCAUCAUUCAUCACCAUUGAUUUUGAUUCUGAUUUUGAGAAUUAGGUUAAACUAAAUUGAAUUUUGAUUUCAUCAUUCAUCACCAUUGAUUUCACAUUGACAUAAGAAGAUUAUGUUGAAUUGAAUAAUUUAGGAAUUGAAUAAUUGCUAAAACCAUAAAACCAUACUUAUGGUUUCAAUGUUAUAUUUUCUCUUUAUUUUGAUAAUGUUUACUCUUUCCUAGUUUACUGUUUAGAUCUAUCUUCUGAAUGAUGGUGAAAAAACAUUGGAUUUUCUUUGAAAUAAGAUCUUAGCAAUACAUUAAGAUCCUGAGAAGUCAGAAUCACUCACCAUGAUGAUUCUGAAACAAACCUUCAAAAACAUUAUUACAUCAGUGUCUACUUUUUUUGUACAUCCUUUGUUUAACUUGAUGCUUGACCAGAAGAAAUGUAGUUUAUUGAGUAGUUGAAUAUGUAAAUCUUGGGUUGGUUGAUUGAUGUAAAAAUUCUUGGGUUAGUUUUUACUUAGGACCUCUUGCUGAUAAUAUCUUAUUUUCAUCAUGCAUCCAAGGAAUUGGGUAUGGUUUCUUGCCUUUCCACAUUUCCUGCAAUAUGACACUACUUGGUUUUGAAUCAAUGGAAUCUAAUGUGUUGGUUUGUGCAUGGUUAACUGGACCAAAAAAACAAACCCACUUUGUGGUUCAGGUUUGAUCAAUUGAUCAAACCUUGGGUUGGUUGAUUGAUGUAAAAAUUCUUGGGUUAGUUUUUACUUAGGACCUCUUGCUGAUAAUAUCUUAUUUUCAUCAUGCAUCCAAGGAAUUGGGUUUGGUUUAUUGCCUUUCCACAUUUCCUGCAAUAUGACACUACUUGGUUUUGAAUCAAUGGAAUCUAAUGUGUUGGUUUGUGCAUGGUUAACUGGACCAAAAAAACCAACCCACUUUGUGGUUCAGGUUUGAUCAAUUGAUCAAACCUUGGGUUGGUUGAUUGAUGUAAAAAUNNN